CCUACCGGAGGCUGCAGUGAGGAAUAUUGGUCAAUGGGCGCGAGCCUGAUCCAGCCAAGUAGCGUGAAGGAUGAAUGCCCUACGGGUUGUAAACUUCUUUUAUAAAGGAAUAAAGUGAGACACGUGUGCCUUUUUGUAUGUACUUUAUGAAUAAGGAUCGGCUAACUCCGUGCCAGCAGCCGCGGUAAUACGGAGGAUCCGAGCGUUAUCCGGAUUUAUUGGGUGUAAAGGGAGCGUAGAUGGGUUGUUAAGUCAGUUGUGAAAGUCUGCGGCUCAACCGUAAAAUUGCAAUUGAUACUGGCAGUCUAGAGUACAGUUGAGGUAGGCGGAAUUCGUGGUGUAGCGGUGAAAUGCGUAGAUAUCACGAAGAACUCCGAUUGCGAAGGCAGCUUACUAAACUGCCACUGACGUUGAUGCUCGAAAGUGUGGGUAUCAAACAGGAUUAGAUACCCUUGUAGUC
rnacentral:rRNA from 1 species